rnacentral:rRNA from 1 species
CCUACGGGAGGCAGCAGUGAGGAAUAUUGGUCAAUGGCCGGAAGGCUGAACCAGCCAAGUCGCGUGAAGGAUGACGGCCCUACGGGUUGUAAACUUCUUUUGUCAGGGAGCAAGUGAGGCCACGUGUGGGCUUAGCGAGAGUACCUGAAGAAAAAGCAGCGGCUAACCCCGUGCCAGCAGCCGCGGUAAUACGGAGGAUGCGAGCGUUAUCCGGAUUUAGUGGGUGUAAAGGGUGCGUAGGCGGAAUAUCAAGUCAGCGGUAAAAAUUCGGGGCUCAACCCCGUCGUGCCGUUGAAACUGCUGUUCUUGAGUGGGCGAGAAGUCUGCGGAAUGCGUGGUGUAGCGGUGAACUGCAUAGAUAUCACGCAGAACUCCGAUUGCGAAGGCAGCAUACCGGCGCCCACCUGACGCUGACGCACG